GAGCACAAAACAGCAAACUGGGGAUGAAGAAAAAACGUUGCCCAGCUGGUUGUUCGUUGCGAUUGCGGUCUUGGGAGUAAUGGUGCUGCUUGCAAUUGUGAUUGUAUUUUUGGCUUGUAGAAAGCGAAAUAAACGAAGCCACAACCUAGCAUUUCUGGACGUAUAUGAGAACUAUGGUAUUGCGAUGGAGGAAGUUCAGGUGGGAAAAUCGAACAUGAACCAUCAAGAGGAUGACUAAAAUAAAAGAUAAGCUAUGGCCAAAAAUGAAAACGAAA